GUUUGACUAUAAUUUUCUUCAACAGAUGUUUUCCAUUUACUUUUAAACCUUUCCAGAAGGCAGGUCAGAAAAUUUAAUGCUUUUUAUCGGUGGAUCAUGUCCGUCGUCGCUACGGAUAUAAGUAUUUGCUCCACAGAUCAGUAGUAUAUCAACCACGUAAACUGAGGGAAAUUUCAUCAGAGAAACAUCUCCUACUUUAGAUAUAUCGGGAUCUACUGCUAAAUGUAAUAAUGUCUGAUUAUUUAUUUCCCUGGGAUCAAGUUGAACCAAGUGAGCAACUUGUUCUAUGAAGUCUACACGCUCAUUUACUCUACCACCUAUAAACUGGAAAAGUCGAAUUAAAUGUAGUGUUAACUGCAUUAGGCACUGCAAGUUUCCUUGUUCAAUAAUGCUUAAUCGGCGUAUGGUGAGAGCAAUUUUACCGCCUUCAAUCUGACGAACAAUCAACUUGAAGACAUCCAAAAC
rnacentral:lncRNA from 1 species